rnacentral:rRNA from 1 species
AUUGAACGCUGGCGGAAUGCUUUACACAUGCAAGUCGAACGGUAGAGGGGGCAACCCCUUGAGAGUGGCGAACGGGUGAGUAAUAUAUCGGAACGUGCCCAGUCGUGGGGAUAACGUAGCGAAAGUUACGCUAAUACCGCAUACGAUCUAAGGAUGAAAGCGGGGGAUCGCAAGACCUCGCGCGAUUGGAGCGGCCGAUAUCAGAUUAGGUAGUUGGUGAGGUAAAGGCUCACCAAGCCAACGAUCUGUAGCUGGUCUGAGAGGACGACCAGCCACACUGGAACUGAGACACGGUCCAGACUCCUACGGGAGGCAGCAGUGGGGAAUUUUGGACAAUGGACGCAAGUCUGAUCCAGCCAUUCCGCGUGCAGGAUGAAGGCCCUCGGGUUGUAAACUGCUUUGUUACGGAACGAAACGGUGAGCUCUAAUACAGUUUGCUAAUGACGGUACCGUAAGAAUAAGCACCGGCUAACUAACGUGCCAGCAGCCGCGGUGAA